rnacentral:ncRNA from 18 species
GUCGGGCGGGCGGAGAAUACAACACCCGAAAGGGGAAUAAUCCCAGCCGUUUCUUUUGGUCGGCUUUCGAACCACCUGGCACCCUUAA